UACGAAGGGUGCAAACGUUGCUCGGAAUCAUUGGGCGUAAAGCGCACGUAGGCGGCCUCAUAAGUCGGAUGUGAAAUCCCUCGGCUCAACCGAGGACGUGCAUCCGAAACUGUGAAGCUCGAGUAUGGAAGAGGGUCGCGGAAUUCCCGGUGUAGAGGUGAAAUUCGUAGAUAUCGGGAGGAACACCAGUGGCGAAGGCGGCGACCUGGGCCAAUACUGACGCUGAGGUGCGAAAGCGUGGGGAGCAAACAGG
rnacentral:rRNA from 1 species